rnacentral:misc_RNA from 1 species
AAGUCAUAACAAGGUUUCCAUAGGUGAACCUGCGGAAGGAUCAUUACAUUCAGUAGCCUAGCUACUUGUUUACACCCUUGUUUUUUGCGUACCUAUUAUUUCCUCAGCGGGCUUGCUCACCGGUUAGACAAAACUAUAACCUUUUUUAAAUCUUCAAUCAGCGUCUAAAUUAUACAUAAUAAUUACAACUUUCAACAACAGAUCUCUUAGUUCUA